CACGUAGGGCGCAAGCGUUGUCCGGAAUUAUUGGGCGUAAAGAGCUCGUAGGCGGUCUGUUGCGUCCGCUGUGAAAACUCGGGGCUUAACCCCGAGCCUGCAGUGGAUACGGGCAGACUAGAAGUAGGUAGGGGAGAAUGGAAUUCCCGGUGUAGCGGUGAAAUGCGCAGAUAUCGGGAGGAACACCGGUGGCGAAGGCGGUUCUCUGGGCCUUACCUGACGCUGAGGAGCGAAAGCGUGGGGAGCGAACAGG
rnacentral:rRNA from 1 species